UCCAAAGAGCUUCUUCUGAUGCAAAAUUGG
rnacentral:piRNA from 1 species